AUUGUUCUUCUUGAUUUUCUAAUAUUUUCCAAUAUAUAUACUUGUAUAUUCCAACAUUUAUUAAUGUUACCUGAUGUUGUAAUGUAUCGAUCUCAUCUUGAUUUUAUUUCUAUCAAAUACCAGAGAUUUAUUAAUCAACUAUUAUAGUCAUUAAAAAUAUAGCUUAACAGUUAGAAUACUAUAAAAAACUCUGAAGAGUCGGAAAACUUAUGAACAAAACUAAAUUCACAAUAAAAUUCCAACAGAAUAAAAUAAAUUAUAACCAAACAACUAAGUCAACUUCUCUAAAAACUUUUUGUUUGGCCAAAUAAUCUACAACAUGAUUCUUCUUUCUAUGAACAUGUUCAAAACACAGAAAAAAAAAGUCUAUUAUAUUCGUUGAAAAUAUUAUUGAAUUCAAUUUGCAUGCACUCAGUCCGCAUAACAUUUUUUCCUUUAAUGAUAUUCACCUGUGUAUGAACAAAUUAAUUGUAGGCCAAGCGUGACAGGUCAAUGGAUGCUCCACUAGCAGACGUUUGUAGAGCUACCUCUGCAGCACCGUAUUACUUUCCCCCUUAUCAUUUUAAAACCAGCAAGCCCUUCAACCUAGUUGAUGGCGGUGUUGCAGCCAAUAAUCCUGUAAGUUACUGUUUAUUGUGAUAUAAUAACAUUUAUACUAGGAAAAUGAUAAGUUAGCAUCGCUAGGAAAAAGAAUGCACUAUCAUUUGUAGAAAUUAUACUGCUAUUUGGCAAUUAAGUCACACCUUUUUGUAGUUCUAUAAUGCAUUUAUAGUCUUUGUUUUAAUUAAUGGCUUAUCUCUCUUGUCAUAAUCUUAUCAGUCUUUCCUAGCUGUGUGUGAGGCGAUGAAAGAACGGAAGGCAGAUUUUCACAAAUUUGUUGUUCUCUCCCUUGGAACUGGAGCACCAGAUGCAAGUGGCAGGCUAGAGGUUAGAGACGGCAAAUGGGGAAUUGUUGAUUGGCUUUGGCAGGAUGACAAUUCCAACCCGUUGCUGGAUAUCUUGACGACUGCACCAGAUGAAAUGACUGAGAUGUACAUGUCUACCGUCUUUCAAUACAGUGGAUUAGAACACAACUAUACUCGGAUCCAGGUAAACCACUUGAAAGUAUAAAAAGUAGGAAUUUUCGGCAACGAGAUAGCUAUUUAUUUGGUCGUGGUGAAGUUGGGGAAGCUGGCAUUUCAUUGUUAAUGAUGCGUUGCCAUUUCAUACUACGAUUAGGUUGAGCUAAAACCCAGUGAAGCCAUAAUGGACAAUACAAGCAAAGAAAAUCUGGAGAGACUCAAGAAGAUCGGUCAGGAUUUAGCAGAACAAAAUGAUGCCAAACUUGAAGCGUAAGAACUGGAUUUAUGAAUUAUCUUGGCUUUUCAAUUAGCACCGAAGCAAGCUAACUUCUUGUUGAUCUUAAUUAUUGCAACCUCGCUUUGAUGUUGUGCAGUCUUGCAAGCCGAUUGGUCGAGAUACGGAAAGCUCGCUUAACCCACAUAUCAACUUGACAAUUCAUAAAGUAGAACGUUGCUGAUGUCCAAGGCAACGUUGUCCAAGAUAUGGUUACCUGCCCAUAUGAUUAGUACUGUUUUCAAAUUUGCCAGUGACUUUAGUGCUGGAGUUAGCACUAGUUCAAGUCAGGCUUCGUUCUGAGUUGUGUGGAGUUGAUAAUUAUGUACCUCUAUCAUAAAUAAUGAGGAAACAAUGUACUCUUCUUAAGCUUCUUCUAAAAGCAAAAGAAGAUCUUCUUUAUUUAUGUUAUGUGUGUAAUGUGUUGUAUUAAUAUGCAUCAUGUGGAGUGGCUUGAUUAAUCUCUCUAUUAUUCUUAAUGAGUGGUCUUUGCUUCCACUUUCCCCAAUUGAUCUUUUUAUUCUUAAUCCAUCGAAAUAUAAUUUUCAAAAACUGUAAAUGUCUGUUGUGUUUAGUUCAGAAUAAUAAGAAGCUUAACUUAUUAGUUAUUCAACAUUUCUUAUUUACAUAUGUAGGACAAUAUACAAUAAUUAAUGUAGAGAUUACAAUACAAAAUUUAACCUUACACAUGGUAAAUAUAAUUACUAUAAUAUAUACCCUAUAAAUUAGUACUUUCUAUAAUACGCCCUCUCAAACUAAGGGUGAAGGUUCAACUCGAAGCUUGAACCAAUGAUGAGAAAAAGAAGCAGUGUGAGUGGCUUUGUAAGAACAUUUGCAAGUUGAUUCUUGGAGGAAAUAAAACAAAUCUGAAUAUUUUUCUUUGCAACCCUAUCACGUACAAAGUGAAAAUCAGCCUCCACAUGUUUAGUAUGAACAUGAAAAAUAGGAUUCGAGGACAAGUAAGUGGCACNNNNNNNNNNNNNNNNNNNNNNNNNNNNNNNNNNNNNNNNNNNNNNNNNNNNNNNNNNNNNNNNNNNNNNNNNNNNNNNNNNNNNNNNNNNNNNNNNNNNAUAGGUUGGUCAACUGCUGCUAAUUCAUCAAACAAAGCCUUCGUUUUCUGUAGAUAGAUGGUGACAUAAUCAUCAACUUGACAAAGGUCUUGAAAAGCACCAUAAAAUUGCAUAAUGCAAGAAUUGGACAAAAAAGCAAGCACUUGCUCAAGAGCAUGUAAAACAUAGUGCAGAGUGUUACAAUCAACAACAAGAUGCAAUACAUUCAUUGAAAGGGAAGAAAUGAGUGCACUCAUAAUAAGUUAAUAUUGUUGUUUCCAAAAAAAAAAAAAGGAUUAACCUGAAUAGAGGAGUCAUCGACAACAACUAUAUGAGAGGAAUGACACGAAAAAGAGCCAUCAACAAAAUGAAAAACACCUAGUCUAAGAAGAUAUGACUUCAUUUGCAUUUGCUAAUAGAAAUAAUUUGUGUUUAAAAGCUUCAAUGAGAUAACUUGUUGAGUGUUGGAGAGAGGAACAACUUCUCCAAUGAAAGAAUCAAUGACAAUAACAAUGACAGUGGAAGGAGAAAAAGAAUCAGCGUUCAAUACAAAGGAGGAGAGUGAAGACAACACCAGUGCAAAAGCUAUAGGUUGGGAAGAAAUUAGAAUUAGGUUUACAGUUGUGAUUGAGUCCAUUAAAGAGAAAGAAAAGAGAUAAUUUUAACAUGUUUAGUGCUUUGAUACCAAAUUAAGAAUAAUAGAAAGUUUAAUUUAUUAAUUAGUCAACCUUUUUUAUUUAUAUAUGUAGGGAAGUAUACAAUAGUUAAUGUAGAGAUUACAAGACAAGACUCAAUCUAUACACAUGAUAAAUAUAAUUACUAUAAUAUAUACCCUAUAAAUUAGCACUUCCUAUAAUAUAGUUUUCAAGCAUUACGAGGAAAACAUGUUUAAGAGGGAGAAUUCUUAAGUAAUUGGAUUUGGUUAGGAAUAGAGUAAACCUUUAAGGAACUAAAUGACCUUAAUUCACAAAUAUAAAAUGAGAUUUUAAGUAAUGCUUAGUUAAUUUUUUAGGAUAAGAGAGAAGGGAAGAGAUAGCGAUAGAAACAUAAAAAUAAAGUCAUCAUUGAGAUAAUUUGAGAAAGAAUUUCUAUACUUCCAAAACAGGAGGUCUAAAAAGGAUGUAUCUCUUUGAGAUAAUAUUUAUUAUUUUGCAUCCCUAAAAUAUCAUUAAUUUAAAAACUUUUUAAUUCCAAACUUGUCCAAUUAAGAAAAUUUGUUACUAUUAGUUUUUUUUUUCUUCUUUUCCCAUUGCAAUUCCUUUGAUAUAUACCAAUAAAAUAUUUCCGUCAGUGUUUACCGAGGGAUAUAGCGAUGAAAAAGUUCGUCGGUAAAAUUCAUCGAAAUCUACCAACAAAAAAUUUUUGUUGGUGUUUUCAUUUGUAUUUGUCAAAUUUUUGGUAGUAAUUUUACCGAAUAAGGUCACAUCAUAAAUCCUAAUUUAAAAAUUUUAUUAUUCAAAUUCCGUCGGUGUUUUUAUUUGUAUUUGUCAAAUUUCUGGUAGUAAUUCUACCGAAUAGGAUCACAUCAUAAAUUCUAAUUCAAAAAUUUUAUUACUAAAUAUUUCACCACACAAAUAUUCUAAUCAAAACUCUCUAUUACAACUCUUAUAAGUUUGUUUAUAUACUAGUAAAAAAUCCUAAACAGAGUCGAAAAAAUAAUAAAAAAAGCUUUAAACUAAAUAAAAAAAAUCCUAAAUCAACUAAAAAAAUAUAGUAAAUCCCAACAAAAACUUAUGGGCAUUAUUUGAAGAUCUUUCUGAACUUUCAUUGCUAUAAAAUGUUAACUCUAAAAAAAACAAACUACUAGGAUCUUCUAAAUUUUUUUAGUCCAAUCCAACAAUUAAAUCAAAAUAUAUACCCAUUAAUAUUAAACUGCGUUAGAGAAAAAUGUUACACACCAUAUAGUUUGACUUUUUAAAAAAAAUAUAAGUUAUAGUUUUAUCUUUUAGAAAUACUUGGAUUUUUAUCUAAUAAUUUAUGAAGUGUAUUUUUACAUUUUUAUACAUAGAUUUUAAAUUUAAACUCUAUUUUAUGGAAAAUUAAAUAAAAAUAUAGUUUGAUUUUUAAUUUGUUUUUAAACUGAUUUAAAAAAAUCAGACAGAGAAUGAUGAUGGUUUUAAAUAUUUUUUGACAAAGAUAGAGGGAGCGAGCUGUAAACCAUAUCAGAAUGAAUAGAGGGAUUACAACAAUGUUGAAAUACCUUAUUUAGACCCAUAAUUCCAUAACAGGAUUAUUGACUUACCUUAUCAAGAACCAUAAUUGUAGAUACCUUGAUCCUGGCCCAAAAUCAUAUUACUCCUUAGAUUCGAGUUAGAUUUAUUUUCUAAAAAGCUACUCCAUAGUUUUCUCUCAUGUAAACAACAAUUCAAAGAUGCCAAAGCCCUCUAUAUCAAGACCAUGGUUUCUCUGUUUUUGUUCAGUCAGUGAAGAACACAUGCUUCUAGCAACAAUGGCGAACCCAUUAAUCUACUUUUCAGGCUGUCUGUUCCUAUCCAUUCUCAUUAUUCUCAUCAAGUUCUUUAAUAAAGUAUGGUGGACUCCCAUUCGCAUCCAAUCUUUGAUGAAGUCACAGGGAAUCAGAGGCCCUUCUUACAGAUUUCUGCAUGGUAACACCAAAGAGAUCUCCACAAUGAUAAGAAAAACUAGGAGCAGUCCCCAGGAAUUACUACAUCAUACAUUGCCCAUGGUUCAUCCCCACUUUUAUUCAUGGAUCAAGCUCUAUGGUAACAAUCUUCUCAUACUUUAGAUAUCAAGCAAUAUUCUUGCUUAAAUUUAGAUGAAUUAUAACUUCUUACAUCAACAAAAUGUCUGCAGAAUUAUAUAAAUUAACUUUGACUACAUAUUUCUGUACAGGGAUGAACUUCCUUCAAUGGUAUGGUCCACAAGCACAACUGAUCAUCACUGAACCUGAGCUGGUCAAACAAAUAUUAAGCAACAAAGAUCGAGCGUACCCCAAAACGAAGGUCUCAAAUGAAAUAAAGAAGCUCCUAGGGGAUGGAAUUGUCUUAUCAGAAGGGGAAAAAUGGGUUAAACUCAGGAAACUGGCCAAUCAUGCUUUCCAUGGAGAGAGCAUAAAAGUAAAUUCUUUUUUUGGUUUUGAACUGUGAUCAUGAAGCUGGCAGAUAUAUAACUAAACUACAAUUGAACUGGAUAAACAGUACAAGUAUAUACGAAAGUCACCCACCUAGGGUAAUUCCAUCAACUACUAAGCACCGUUUCUAUGCUCUGCAGGGUAUGGUUCCAGAAAUGAUCGCCAGUUUAGAGAUUAUGCUUGAAAGAUGGAGACACCAUCAUAGCAAGGAGAUAGAUAUAUUUGUAGAGUUCAAGAUUUUAACAUCAGAAGUAAUUUCCAGGACGUCUUUUGGAAGCAGCUACUUGGAAGGGCAGCACGUAUUUGAUAUGCUUACGAGAAUGACUCACAUUAUUUCAGAAAACAAUUACAGAGUUAGAAUUCCUGGAAUUGGGUAAACACCAUAUAUGUGCAUGCAUCGGCAUAAUCAUGCCUGACAUGAGUUUUUCCUUGGAGACAAUUAACUUGCUGACGAGAAAUUUUAAAUCUUUUAAUUCUGUCAUUUUCAGGCUCCCACCUUUUCAUUUAUACAAGAUUCUAAUGUUGCAGAAAUGAAUGGCAUUUUUCUAUUGUUGCAGAAAAUUUGUUAAAGCAAGUUAUGAUAUUGAAUUUGAAAAUCUGGAAGCGAAGAUAAGAAAAUCAUUCAUGAAAAUGAUGAAGAGAACAGAGAAAGACGCCACGUUGGGAGAACUGUUAAAGUAAUUCAGAUGAAACAUAAAAGGAGGCUAGAAUUCUCAAUAAUAUGUUUAUUAUGAGUGCUUAAGUUAACCUAAAUACAAAUGAAUUAUAUAUAGGUUAAACUGAAAAUACUAUUCUACCCUUAAUAAAUAAAACUAGAUAAAUAUUACUUAACAUCUCCCCUCAAACUCACGAUGCGGCAUCUACAAGCAUCGAGAGUUUGCCAACUAGAAAAUGAAAACGAGAUAUGGAAUGCGUCUUGGUAAAGAAAUCUGCAAUCUGCAAGGAAGAAUGAACAAAAGGCAAAGUAAUGGUGCCAUGCUUGAGAUGAUGACGAGUAAGAUGACAAUCGAUCUCAAUGUGCUUAGUUCGCUCAUAAAAACCGAGUUGUGAGCAAUCUGAAUAGAAGUCUGGUUGUCACAAUUCAUAGGAGUAGGAUGAGAAAAGAAAACUCUCAUAUCAGCAAGUAACCAACGUAACCAAACAAUCUCUUUGGUAGUAGAUGCCAUGACAGAAGCUGAAGGAAAGUCGAAAUACCAGAUUUUGCAGAAGCGGAAGACAAAAUAUCACUCCAAAUUUUUUUGCAGAAACUUAACUCAAAUACCAAAUUGCAGAAACUGAAGAGAAGACGAAAUACCAAAACAAUUGCAGAGACAGAACAGAAAUACCAAAUUGCAGAAGCUGAUACCAAAUUGCAGAAGCUGAAGAGAAGAUGAAAUACCAAAACAAUUGCAGAGACAGACUGAAAUACCAAAUUGUAGAAGCUGAAGGACAGUCGAAAUACCAGAUUUUGCAGAAGCGGAAGACAAAAUAUCACUCCAAAUUUUUUUGCAGAAACUUAACUCAAAUACCAAAUUGCAGAAACUGAAGAGAAGAUGAAAUACCAAAACAAUUGCAGAGACAGAACAGAAAUACCAAAUUGCAGAAGCUGAUACCAAAUUGCAGAAGCUGAAGAGAAGACGAAAUACCAAAACAAUUGCAGAGACAGAAUAGAAAUACCAAAUUGCAGAAGCUGAUACCAAAUUGCAGAAACUGAAGAGAAGACGAAAUACCAAAACAAUUGCAGAGACAGAACAGAAAUACCAAAUUGCAGAAGCUGAAGAGAAGACGAAAUACCAAAACAAUUGCAGAGACAGAAUAGAAAUACCAAAUUGCAGAAGCUGAUACCAAAUUGCAGAAACUGAAGAGAAGAUGAAAUACCAAAACAAUUGCAGAGACAGAACAGAAAUACCAAAUUGCAGAAGCUGAUACCAAAUUGCAGAAGCUGAAAAGAAGACGAAAUACCAAAACAAUUGCAGAGACAGAACAAAAAUACUAAAUUGCAGAAGCUGAAGAAUCUUAAAUAAUGUUUCAGAUAUUAAUUCUUCAGCCGCAAGCACAAAACUUGAUCUUCAUCCUCCAUCUUUUAAUAGGUCAAACAACCCAUGUCUGAUGUUUUGAAAAAUGAAUCUGAAGUUAAGCUUCAAAGGAAUGCAUUGAGCGUGUUGGAACAUCCUACAGGGAAUGAAGUGGAUGAUGAUAACGAUUUUGAUACAAGCAGUGGCUCUAACAUUGGUGAACAUGAUUUCUACAAGGGCAACGAGUUCCAUAAAAUUAACAAGCCAAGGGUUCGAUCAACUAGGCUCUGAUACCAUGUUAAAGUAAUUCAGAUGAAACAUAAAAGGAGGCUAGAAUUCUCAAUAAUAUGUUUAUUAUGAGUGCUUAAGUUAACCUAAAUACAAAGGAAUUAUAUAUAGGUUAAACUGAAAAUACUAUUCUACCCUUAAUAAAUAAAACUAGAUAAAUAUUACUUAACAAGAACUAGAUGGCUUUGGACAUGAUUUAUUUGGAUUGCUCCUAAAGGCGUAUCAUGAUUCGGAUGAGACCAAGAAAAUAUCAUUAGAUGACCUGAUUGAUCAGUGCAAGAAUUUUUAUCUAGCUGGGCAAGAAACAUCAGCAAGCGCACUUACCUGGAUUGUUUUUCUUCUAGCAGUCCACUCAGAUUGGCAAGAUAAAGCAAGGAAAGAGGUGCUUGAAUUAUUUGGCCUACAAAUUCCAAGUCAAGAUCGCAUUGCAAAAUUGAAAAUUGUAAGCAACCAUUCCACCAUGGCUAGCUUCUAACCAAAAUUAUGAACUUUGCAACAUUAUACCUCUUGAUUCAGUUCUUUAACUAAAUUUUCUGUCUCUUCUUUGUAGAUGGGCAUGGUAAUUAAUGAAUCUCUAAGACUAUAUACUCCUAAUGCUAUUCUGAUGAGGAGAGUUGAAAGGGAAACGAAAUUGGGAAAAAUAACUGUUCCAGCGAAUACUGAAGUUUACAUUUCAACUUUAGCAGUUCAUCAAAAUCCUGAAAUAUGGGGAGAAGAUGCUCUUCUUUUUAAACCAGAGAGAUUUGCAGACGGGGUGGUUAAAGCUACAAACAAUAACAUAGCUGCAUUCAUGCCAUUUGGUCUGGGACCUCGAAAUUGUGCGGGGAUGAACUUUGCUAUCACAGAGACAAAGUUAGCACUCUCUAUGAUCCUGCAACGUUACAGUUUUACUCUCUCACCAACUUAUGCCCACUGCCCAACUGAAGUUCUAACAAUGUGCCCCCAGCAUGGAGUUCAAGUCAUUCUCCAACGAUAUGAACAUAUCGCUCUCAAAGUAUAAGAGAUUGACGUCUUCAUUUUGAUAGCUAGAUCCAUCUUUUCAGUAAAAUAAGAUUGAGAACUGAAUAUCUAUAUAAACGCUACAACCGGUCCCCAAUCAGUUGGCUGAAAUAUAAAUGAUCACCAAAGCUACAGUAUCGAUGACGACUGAAAGGAUGAGGAAAUGUUAUAUGAGUCAUUUGUCCGAACGUAAUCUCAGGAUUCUUGAUUCUAUUUUAUAAAGUCUCCUUUAUCAGUACAUUUUUUCCUAUAAGAAACUCACCAGAUAACGCAGAAAGAUGUAAGAAGAAUACAAAACCCAUCAGUUCAGAUCUUGUCUAAAAGAAACAUAUUUUUAGCUUCUGUCAAUACAUACACACAGACGAGUUUGUUCUGUUUUUCAAUCUCGAGUAGAUACAACAAGAACACAAAAAUGCAAUCAAAUUUAGUACAAAAUGAAUCAAAAUAUGAUUGGGCCAUGCAUCUCUUCCUGUUGUCCUACGGGCUGUUUCUAAAUUUUCCAUUCCUGUUGCUUCAAAUAAUACACAAUCUGUAUGUUUUUAUUGUCAAAAAGCAAAAAGUUGUUCUCUACCAUCUAAAAAUGUUCAUUUACGAUCCACUUCCCCCUAGACUUGAUCUACUCUGAUGUUUGGGGACCAGCUUCUGUCCUUUCUACUACUGCACGUGAUUGUGUUAUUUUUCUUGAUGAUUGUACUAGAUUCUUAUGGAUCUUCCCCAUGAAACUUAAAUCUGAUGUUCAAUCAAUUUUCCACCAAUUUCAGACCUUUGUUGAACGCCAAUUCAACAGCACUAUCAAAUCCAUUCAAAUUGAUUGUUGGGGGGGGGGGGAUAUCGCAGAUUAUCCAAUUACUUCAAACAGAGUGGCAUGAACCAUCGCAUUGCUUGCCCUUACACUCACCAGCAAAUGGGAGCUAUAGAACGCAGGCAUAGACAAAUAGUUGAAACUGGUUUAUCACUACUUUCUCAUUCUCAUUUACCUCAACAUUUCUGGGAAGAUGCUUUCACCACUGCCAUGUACAUCAUCAACAGGCUUCCCACCCCUCUUCUACAUAACCAAUCUCCAUAUGAAGUGGUCUACCACAAGAAACCAGACUACCAAUUCCUUAAAAUAUUUGGUUGUGCCUGCUGGCCUUAUCUUCAUCCCUUCAACAACCAUAAACUUGACUUCAGGUCCAAACUUUGCAUAUUUCUUGGCUACAGUCGGAACCACAAUGGGUAUAAAUGUCUAGAUACAUCUACAGGAAAGGUUUACGUCUCCCAUCAUGUUGUUUUUGAUGAACAUCGCUUCCCAUUUCAACACACUUCCACAUCCUCCCCUACCUCUUAUAAUACACAUACUGCUUCCCUUCCACUUCAACCAAUCUCUCAUCCUCCCCAACCUGACCCUGAUACUCACACUGUUUCAUCUGACAACUCCUUGUCUUCCAUGUCUCAAGAUUUUGCUGAUGCAGGUUUAGAGGCUGACUCACCUAAUUUGGAUAUUUCUUCCAAUCACUCUAGUGCCAGAAAUUCUACUUCUCCAGCACAACAAGAAUGCAACUCAGCUCCUCCUACGCUGCAGCCAAUCCAUUGUCCUGUGAAUACUCAUCAUAUGAUUACAAGAUCCAAAAAUAAUAUUCAUUGUCCCAAGAAGCUUCCUGCUGAUGUCACUCAAUAUCCUCUGCCACGAGCACUUCUUGUUGCUGCUCAAGAAAUCCAUGAUGAGCCAACAUGUUAUACUAAGGCUUCCAAAUCUAGUGAAUGGAGAUCUGCCUUGAAUACUGAAUUUGAUGCUCUAUUGCGCAAUGGCACCUGGACACUAGUUCCCCUCCACCACACACCCAUGUUAUAGGUUGUAAAUGGGUUUAAAGAAUCAAACGCAAGGCAUAUGGUACUGUCAAAGGUUAUAAAGCACGUCUCCUAGCUAAAGGCUAAUUUAUUAUAACUUAAAGCUAAAGAAUAAGAAGAAGAAUGAGAUAAAUGAUAUUUUAUUAAGAGUUUUCUUAAAAGAUACACUUUUCUAGCUUUUUUCUAUGUCUCUCUUAACUUGUCUUUAAUACUUAUGAUUAUAAAUCUAUUUAUAAAUCUCAAGUCCUAGAUAUUCAAGGAAUUAAAUUAUUCAAAAGAAAUCCUAAUCUAAUAAGGAAUCUAACAUUCUAAUUAAAUAAGGAUUCUAACAAACUAGUCUAUUAUAAAUCCUUCUUCCUCAAGAACUCUUAUAUUAACUAGAAUUCUUUCUUUAGCUAAUAUUAAAACUCCUACAAACUCUAAAUUUUAUUAGUCUAAAUCCUAGUUGAUUUUGAAUUUCAAGAAAGCUUUCACCAAUAGUAUGGACUUGAUUUUACAGGCACUUACAAUCCAGUAAUUAAACCUGCAACAGGACACCUGGUCCUCAUACCUACUAUCUUUCAUGGCUGGCCAAUACAUCAAAUUGAUGUCCAAAACGCAUUCCUUCAUGGUCAUCUCCAACAGGAUGUCUACAUGGUUCGAUCAACCACCAGGUUUUCAGCAUCCUCAGUAUCAUAAUCAUGUCUGUCAUCUCCAUCAGUCACUAUAUGGUCUUCGUCAAGCACCACGUGCUAGGUUCUCAAGGCUCUCUUCACAGCUUCUGAAUUAUGGAUUCACUGGAAAUCAAAACAAUAUCUCGUUGUUAAUCUAUCGUCAAGAAUCAACAAUAAUAUUUGUCUUGAUUUAUGUCAAUGACAUCAUUCUGAUAGGCUCCUCAUCUAAAGUCAUCAACAAUGUUAUCAACUAUCUUCGGAAUGACCUUGGACAACUAAUUUUUUUCCUCGGCGUUGAAGCUUCACAUGCAUUGUAGCAACGACAUCUACCUCAUUCCGCAAAGAUACAUGACUGAUUUGUUGAUUCGUUUUGGAAUGGAUUAAUAUAAGCCCUUUUCCACUCCUAUGGCUACAACCCUCACUUUAUCCAAACAUGAUCAUCCAGAUUGUCCUGACGCCAAUUUAUAUCGCAGCAUCGUAGGGAGUCUACAUUAUUUGGCCUUCACAAGACCAGACAUUUCAUUUGUUGUCCAUCCUGCGUUAUUUAAAAGAAACUAUUUCCUUUGGCCUUUUCAUCCCCAAGUCCCUAUCACCACACUUUCAAGCCUUUGCUGACAGUGACUGGGCUGGUGACCCUGAUGACCGGCGGUCAGUUGGAGCCUAUUGCAUUUACCUUGGUUCAAGUCUCAUUGCAUGGACAUGCAAACAACAGGAAGCUCUAGCAAAUGCUGCUGCUGAGUUACAGUGGCUGUGCAAACUUUGUAAUGACUUGGGUUCACCUCCUACUCAAAAACAAAUUAUCUGGUGUGACAACAUUGGAGCAGCGUAUUUCUCUGCUAAUCCCCUUUUUCAUGCUCGAACCAAACAUAUUGAGAUUGACUUUCACUUUGUUCGUGAUCUAGUGCACAGCAAAGAAUCCAGGUCCGCCUUCUCUCCACAAAAGAUCAGAUUGAUGACCUGCUAACCAAACCUUUAGCUACUACGAGGUUCCAGCAUAUCCGGUUCAAUCUUAAGGUUAGGGAGCUUCCCUUGAGAUUGCGGGGGCGUUUCAGUGAUAUACAUGGAAACUUACAUCUUGAAGAUUAUCAGAAAGACACAAAGAUUGCAGAAGAUUGCACAGUCACUAACUCCUGAUGUAAAGUCAAAGCUAAAUUCCUGGGAGAAUAUUCAGGAGACAAUUGAUUCCAAUCAAAUAUCAGAUUGCUUAAAGUAUGGCACUUGUUGUGCACAUCUAUAUAUUUAAAAUGCAUUGUAAAUAAAACGAACGUAAUAUAAGAAAUAUAUAUUCAGCUCGUAUUCUUUCUUAAAACUUUACAGGCACCAAUACAAUACCAAGCAUUAAACCUUUUGAAUAAAUCUAUUCUGAUGUAUGGGACCAUCUCAUAUAUCUUCAUAUCAAGAUUUCAAAUAUUAUGUGAUAUUCAUUGAUCAUUUGACUAUAUACUGUUGAAUUUUUUCCAAUGCACUUAAAAUAUGAUCUAAACAAUAAUUUUCCUCUUAUCCAUGUUGUUCUUAAAAAACAGUUUGGUGUACCUAUUCAAAAUCUAUACUCUAACAAGUGGGGAAUACACGAAGCUAAAAUCCUAUCUCAGCAUACAUGGUAGACUAUCACACCUCCCUACACCCCUCAAUAAAAUAGCCUUUAUGAACUUCAUUAUCAUCAUUUGAUGAAAUUCGAAUGAUCCUUUUAUCACAAGCAAAUUUACCUGUUAAAUUUUGGUGCCUUGAAUUUCAAACUGUUGUUUAUCUAAUAAAUAGACUACCCACACCAAUUCUUCAUAACAAAUCUUCUUUUGAAUGUGCAUUUAAUCAUAAAACAAACUAUCAAAAACUAAGGGUCUCUAGCUGUCUUUGCUUUAUAUGGUUGAAACCUGACAACCAUCAUCAAAUGGAUCCAAUAUCAAAACCUUGCAUUUUUUUGUUGGUUAUUUAACAUCUUAAAGUGUUUACAAAUGCAUGUACAUAUAAACACAUAAAAUUUAUUUAUCAAGACAUGUUACAUUCAGUGAAAAUAACUUUCCUUGUAAAUCAUCCCCACCUCAUAAAAUAGAUCAUUUUAAAAUAAGAUUGAAGAUAUAUUUUUUUAGUCAAUAAUUCAUUAACAACAAAGUUAACAGAAGAUAAUGGAUAGAGAAUGAUGAAGAAUUGAACCUCAAAAUCCUUCAAAAUCACUACAAAGUACUAUUAAAAAUCAUACUAAUCAUUGUUGCUCUCUAUACUUAAUAUUGACACCACAUAUCUUUAAUUCUGUUGAUUCCUGUGGAUCAAUGGUUGAGUACAGGCCUUAAAAUGCUGGUAACAAAUAUUGGCUAUGGAUUUAAAGCUAAAAAAAAAAAAAAACUGAUUUUCCGGGAAGGAGGUUUCCAAUUGCUAUCCAAACCCAUGUCAAACACCUACUACUCUAGCACAAAAGCCUUUCUCUUAUGAAACUGUCCUUUCUCCUUAUUUGGUGAUAAAAAAACAAUAGUCUAAGGAAGAAUCCCUAUUAGACCAACUGUACUCGAUGAUAAAAGAAACAAAGCCUAAAAAUGUCUCUAAGGAAUUUAUAGCCAGAAGAAAUCUAAUCAGUAUUGUAGAGGCAACAUUACACUUUCUUCUCCACUGUCAUUGCUCCUGGUGUUUCUGGUCUAAAGUUAUUCAAUGGUGGGGAAUUUCAACUAGUUUUCUCGAAUCUCUUGAAGAUUUUUACAAUAAAUGGUUAUGCUACAGCUCAAGUAAAUUCCAAGUCAAAGCAUGGAAGUUAGUUUUCUUUGCAACUUUGUGGAUUAUUUGGUUGACAAGGAAUAAUUUAGUGUUCAAUAGCGUGCAACUGGAAUGGCCAUAUCUCUUUCAAUUGUUAGCGCAUAGAAUUUCAGUCUGGAUUCACAAGAUAGAAGGAAAUUUCACAUAUACAAGGCUUGAUUUGACUUGAGGAUCAAAAGGUAUUAGAUUAUGGACCAACCCUACCAAGAAAUUAUCGAAUUUUUAGCCUCAGUGUCUGUAAUUUUCUAUACCUUCUUGCCUUGUACUUCAUCUUGUUAGUCAGCAUCUAUGUGGUUAUAUUUCUUCAAUUAAUAAAAUCCGUCUCGUUUUUUUUUUUAAAAAAACUUGGCAGAGGUCUAGUUGUUUCAUAUUAAUUCGUAUAAAAUUACUAUAGUAAAUACUAUUUGUGUUGUAAUAUUUUUUUUAUUCGUUUAGUAUAGGGAAAUACCAUAAAAUCAUAUCCACACUUCACCAAUAUUUCAUGACCCACUGAAUGGGUUCUGCUAUUAGUUUUUUUUUUUAUAUAUAUAUAAUAGAGAUGAUAUAUUAAAGGGUUAGUGCCAUCAAGAAACUGACAAACUAGAAAACAGAGAAGUUCUUAAUUAUAAGAGUAGAUAAAGCUGCAUAAAUAGUAAAGACUUACACAGAACAAAAUUAAUUUGACAAAAAAAUAAUGCUUUCUGAUCCUCUAUCAAGAUCCAUAUAUGUAUAAGUGAACCUUGAAUUCAUGGUGUUCAACCAAAAAAUAAUACCUCCUACUAGAGCAAGACAAAUAAUAGAUGAUGAUAACUUAGUCGUACAAGUCAAAAUAAUUUAUAUUGUCUUAUCCUUCUUCUCUUCUGUUUCCCUUCCUUGCUAGAGAUUAUGCUUGAGCUAUCUUCUUGAAAUUUUAGUUUUAGCCUUUCCUUUUCUUAUCAUUUUUACCAAGAUAAUGGGUAAGAAAACAAGGAUCACGAAUACACGAACCUGUUUCACUAAAAGAAGCUAAGCGAAAAACAUAACUUCAAUUUUCAACUACAUUUCCGGCUUCAUAUAAAUGCAUGAAAAGUUCACCAAAGAUUUUGCUUCUCUUAACAUUUACAAAUCACACUUACUUUAGCUAUACAGGAGGGAGAAGAGGUGGUCCUUUCUCUUAAAUGGUAAAGAAGUCAACAAUCUCAUGGUAAAGAACUUGAUUCAAUUAAUUUCUAGUCAAUUUAUUCAUCCGUCCAUUCAAGAAUGCCAACUAAGCGAAUGACAUUUUGUUUACUCUCGUCCCCUGAAGCAAUUAACCCACCUUAUCUCUUGUCAUUGGAUUGGAGCUGGGUCAUGAUUAUUAGUGAUCAUGUUAAACCUGCUCAUCUUUGUUUUCUAUUCAUCAAGGACAUUAAGAUAUUAAUAAAUCUGUUCAUCAAUAAUAUUUAAUCGCCUUUUCAGUAUAUUCUCGAUGAUUAUUAAAAAUUAAGAAAAGACAUUAAGAUGUUGGUUUAGAGAGACCGGUCGUGUGUUGUGCAGCAUAUGCUAAAAGAAGAGCAUAGUGCAGCUGAUCUUUUAGCUAAUUUGGGAGCUUCGAGGGAAAAUGUAGAUUUUUUUAUGUUCUUAACCUUCUCCUAGUCUGUUCCUGUUCCUCUUUACGGAUUGUGCUAUCCUCUUGAAAUUAUAGCUUUGGCCCUUUUUUACCCCUUUUACCAAAAGAAUGGUUACGGAAACAAGCAUCACUAAAGCCAAGGAUCAAAGAAGGAAAAAUUUUAUAUUGCACAGGAAAUAGUUAUGUUAUAUUACUUGUUUUCUAGAAUGUACUUUAAAAAAACAGAUAAAUACAUAUAUAGUGACAGUUAAAUUCAUGGGUCAUGAAUAUAUAAUAAAAAUAUCUCUAUCUAGAAUUUAUAUCUUAUAUUUGUAUUUAUUUUUUUAAAAGUAAAUUUAAAGGAGUAAUUAAUAUUAAGAUAUUACUAAUUACACUUGAGUCCCAUAAUUUUAGCAAAGAACAAUAUUCAACUUCAUUUCCCGUUUCAUAUAAAUGCAUAAAAAGUUUACUAGAACAACUAUAGACGAAGAGCGUGUUUGUUUUUUUGCGGUGGCAUUAUAUAUUUUUUUAAAAACAUUAUUUCUAAUUAUUAUUAUAUUUUAUGUUUUUAGACUAUUUUGAUGUAUUAAUAUCAAAAUAAAUUUUAAAAAAUAAAAAAUUAUUAUUCAAAAUUGUUAAUUUGAAACAUGUAAUUAAAAUCUUGUUGUGGUCCAUUCUCAUCCCCUCUCAUACACGAGAAUUGCAUGGAACUACCUAAUUUUGCUGCUUGAGGAAUAUUUCCGUCUGUUCACAUUUACAAAUCACCCUUACAUUUGUUAUAUAGGACGGACAAGAGCCGGUCCUUUCUCAAAGAGUGGACAAGAAGUCAACAAUCCCAUGGGGAUGGUAUUUAUUAAUUUGUCUUAUGUCCAUAAAUCUUCCAGCGGUCCACUCACAUCCCAACUUUUACUCGUAAUCAUAAACAAGGUAGGGACUCCUUAUUCAUUAUUUAUUUUCCAUUUCUUUUUCUAAUUUUGCCGCGAUACCUGGGUGCGAUUGCAUAUAAAUUUUUUUACUUCGGUAAGUAAAUGAACAGUGCUUGGCUUUGAUUUUUUAUAUGCGUAUGUUUGAUUGUAUACCAAUGAAGGUUGGUUUGAGUGGAAGGGGCUCUGGUUACUUAAGCAAGAGGUCUCGUGUUUGAGCCCUUGUGAAUGCAACGAACUUUCUUGGGAGAGGUUCGUGUCUUGAUGCCCGACCAUAUUGUUCAUGUUAGAGAAUAAUAUAAAUCAUAUUCUGAGACCUUACCGCUAACAGCUUAAGCUAUUGGGUUGAGAUAGUUCUUUGACAUGGUAUCAGAGCCUUGAUGACUAAGUGGUCUUGAGUUCGAAUCUUACCAUCCCCAUUUAUUUGAUAAAAAGUAAGCACAAAGGUAAUGUGGGCCUGUGCAAGUUUCAAGCCCAAAGGGCUUUCACUUGAGGGAGUGUGUUAGAGAAUAAUAUAAAUCAUAUCCUGUGAUCUUACCUAGCAGCUUAAGCUAUUGGGUUGAGAUGGUUCUUUGACAAUUAAGUACGCCAAGUCUUUUUCCAAACAAAUUGUCUCAACUUUCAUGUGUGACCUUCAUAAGUGUAUUGAGAAAUUCUCAAUUUUUAUAGUUUUUUGAGUAUUAAUUCAUUUUUAUUCCCGUGUUUUGUUGCAAGGCAGGAAUGGAAACGGCUAUUAUGUCUAAAAGCUAUAUAAGAAUUGGCUUUGUUUGGUUUGACUAGGUGUUGGUAUAGGUUUUUUAGUAGCGGCUUGUGGUUCGUUGUUUCUUCUAGUAAACAGGUCGGGUGUUUUGAUAUAAAAAACGUUGGUUAUGGUUAAAAGGUUGAGUCACUUGCUGUAGGGUGUUUUGGGAUAUGACUUGAGGUUAUCUCAUAAUGAUAAGAGGUAAUGUAUAUCCUAGCACACAAAAAAUUCUAAACAAGCUUCUAAUUCAUUGAGAGAGAGACAUACUUACCAAAUAAAGACCAAAACAAUAUUUGCAUAUAUAUAUAUAUAUGAUUUUAAAAAUCAAAUGUUGCCAUGAUGAGGUAGAAUAACAAUUUAUUAUAAGCAAAGAUUAUGGAUAGAGUAUUAUAGGCUAUUAAUCAUGAACUCAUAAACUUUCAAUAAGAAUUUAAGGUUUUAUAGAUAUUAACCUGAUCCAAAAACCACAUCAGAACACCACUAUUUUCUAAUGCUAAACUUUAGGUAAUAUUAAUGAUUUUUAGAUGAGCUGUUUUCUCAUGCUUUAAUGUUCUUGAUCGAUUUAGUUUGGUUCAGGCUGAAUUUUAUAGUUUCAAAGUUUACAACCAAUAUCAAACCGAACCUAAUUUAAAACAAAUUAACAAAAUUAUCCAAUAAAUUCGUGAAACUAUUUGAUUAGAUUACUUUUUAGUCAAUAUGUAUAAAUAUUCCAAAUAAUCCGAUUCAUUUGCUUACCUGUCCAUUCAAGAAUGCCAACUUUGCGAAUGACAUGCUGUUUCCUCUCAUCCACAUAAACAACCCACGUUUCUCUUGUCAUUGGGUUGGAGUUGGGCCCAAAGGCAAUCAAGAGUACAGCGACUUUAAGUAUAACCUUUUUUUCUCGUUCACAUUGGUGCAUCAUCACCCAAAAUUUUGCUAUAAAAGGGGAGUCGAGCCGAUCCUAGUUCCUCAAGUGGUAGUUGAGCAAAACAUAGUCGCUAAGCAAAGGGUUCUAAUAUUUUAGCUUUCACAACAUGGGUGAGCCCUUAAUUAGACACAUGCCCAUGCUAGCAUUUUCAUCGGUUCCAAUAACAUGAUAUUUUGUUGCAGUCUUAUGAAUUGAAUUGCAUAGAAUUAAAGAUUAAUUUGGCACCAUUACUAUUGGUUAAUAUAUAUUAAUUGUUCUUGUUAUGAUCCUUGUUAAAAUUUUAGGGAAUGGAAGUUCUUGUGAACCAGAGCAUCAGGGAGACUUAACCACAAUCCUUAGCAUUGAUGGUGGAGGAGUGCGAGGCAUCAUUCCUAGUGAAGUCCUAAGUGUUCUUGAAUCAAAGCUCCAGGUUAAUUUGUUCUCUCAACAUGCUUGCUCAUAUUUUCCUUCAUUAAACUUUUACACACUAGAGCUAUAUAUAUAUUCAUCCUCGUUUCAUUUUUCUUGUAUAUAUAGAAAUUUGAUGGCAACAAGGACGCAAGAAUUGCAGAUUAUUUUGACUUCAUUGCUGGGACAAGCACAGGAGGCCUUAUGACAGCUAUGCUUACUGCUCCAAAUGUUGAAAAACGACCUUUGUUUGCUGCGAAAGAUAUUGCUAAGUUUUAUCAAGACAAGAGUCCAAUUAUCUUUCCUAAUGAAGAAGGAAAAUCCCUUCUCAAAGCACAUGAAACAAACCAACUUCUGUUUACCGAAGGGGAUUUCAGAAUCUCGGAUCCUGAUGGAGCAAGGAAGCAAUUUUUGACAACGUAGGUAAAACAAGUUCAACGGAUUGAACUUGUUUGAUAAUUUAAACCAUAUUCUUAGAACAAAACUCUUCCUUUUCAGCUGAAUUAAUAACGACAUUUGCAUAAAUUAAUAUCACUGACAGGAUCUGUCUUUUAAACAGGUACACCAGAGUCAUUAAUACUCCAGCAAAUAUAUUGCGGUUUAUUAUUAAUUUGAUCACCAGGUUCUUUCCUGGGUUGAAGGGUUAUGUAGAUCCUCUUAAUAAGAGUUUUCUACAACCAAAAUAUGACGGUAAGAAUCUGCAAGAUACGAUUAAGGGACUUUUGGGAGAGAAACUAGCUAUCAGUGAGACUCUAACGAGUGUGAUAAUCCCCGCCUUCGAUAUCAAGCAUUUUGGGCCUACCAUCUUUUCCACCUUGAAGGUCAUUAUUCUUACACAUGCAUAUUUUCUAAUAUUUUCCUAUAUAUACACACACACACACACACACACUUAUAUAUUCCAACAUUAAUUAAUUUUACUUGAUGCUGUAACAUAUCGAUCUCAUCUUGAUAUUCACUUGUAUUGUAGGCCAAGCGUGACAGGUCAAUGGAUGCUCCACUGGCAGACGUUUGUAGGGCCACCUCUGCAGCUCCGUAUUACUUUCCCCCUUAUUAUUUCAAAACCAGCAAGCCUUUCAACCUAGUUGAUGGCGG
rnacentral:lncRNA from 1 species